rnacentral:miRNA from 2 species
UUGACAGAAGAUAGAGAGC